rnacentral:rRNA from 1 species
CCCAGACUCCUACGGGAGGCAGCAGUGGGGAAUAUUGCACAAUGGGGGAAACCCUGAUGCAGCGACGCCGCGUGAGUGAAGAAGUAUUUCGGUAUGUAAAGCUCUCUCAGCAGGGAAGAUAAUGACGGUACCUGAGUAAGAAGCCCCGGCUAACUACGUGCCAGCAGCCGCGGUAAUACGUAGGGGGCAAGCGUUAUCCGGAUUUACUGGGUGUAAAGGGAGCGUAGACGGCAUGGCAAGUCUGAAGUGAAAGCCCGGGGCUCAACCGCGGGACUGCUUUGGAAACUGUUAAGCUGGAGUGCAGGAGAGGUAAGUGGAAUUCCUAGUGUAGCGGUGAAAUGCGUAGAUAUUAGGAGGAACACCAGUGGCGAAGGCGGCUUACUGGACUGUAACUGACGUUGAGGCUCGAAAGCGUGGGGAGCAAACAGGAUUAGAUCCCCCGGUA